rnacentral:lncRNA from 1 species
CCAGGACUACGUUUCCCAGCGGCUCCUCCGGGGGGCUGCACAUGCUCGGUGCGGCUCCCGGCGACUCCCGGCAGCUCCCGGCGCGGCGCCCGGUGCGGCUCCCGGCGGAGCUCCCGGUGCAGCUCCCGGCGAUUCCCGGUGCAGCUCCCGGCGGAGCUCCCGGCGACUCCCGGUGCAGCUCCCGGUGCGGCUCCCGGUGAAGCUCCCGGUGCAGCUCCCGGUGCGGCUCCCGGUGCGGCUCCCGGUGCAGCUCCCGGUGCGGCUCCCGGUGAAGCUCCCGGUGCAGCUCCCGGUGCGGCUCCCGGUGCGGCUCCCGGUGCGCCCUCGGGAGCGCACGACCGAGCCCCGGGGCUGAGCCCUGCCCAUCCCAGCCUCACCACCGGCCCCGGGGCCGAGCUUUUCCCCGGCACCCACCCUCACCACCCCCACGGGCAGCAUGCCCCGCGGGCGAGCGUGGACGCAGGCGGAGGUCAGCAGCCUCCUGGCGCUGGUGGAGGGCUCGGGGGAGGCCGCCUUGCUCAUGGCCUCCACGUCGAGGCCCAACGAGGCACUGUGGCGGGAGAUCUCCCAAGGGCUGGCGGCGGCUGGCUACGGGCGCAGCGUGGCCCAGUGCCGCUCCAAGUGGAAGGCCCUCAAGCAGGCUUUCCACUCGGAGCGGGAGACGCGCCGGAGGGCCGGCUGCCACUCGCCCCGGCUGCCCCCGCACUACCAAGCCAUGAAGAGCAUCUGGAAGGCGGCCGGGAGGCCCGUCUUUGGCGAGCGGAGGAUGCCAGACCUGGUGAGACAGCCCUCCAGGAAGCGCAGGUCAGCCCUUGCCGCCCGCUCUCCGUCCUCACCAGGGCCACCAGGGCACGAUGAUGGCAAGGACGCCCCGGGUGUGCUGCUGUCCCCAUUGCUGCAGCGUGCGAAGGAUGAGCCAGACAGCCCAGCCGGUGGUGGGGAACACAUCGCUGGAGUGCUGCCCACUCCCCCUGCUGUGCCACGCUGUCACACCACCCUGAAGCAGGAGAGAGCUGAGCAAAAGGCUGCAGGUUUUCCUGGUGAGACGUCCCUGGGGAUAGGAAGAAGAAACCAAGUGCUGCCAGUGGCCACCGCAGCCCUGGGCUCCCCUGGGAUGGCUGCCAUGAGUGAGCAGCCGGCAACGAGUGAAGAGGCGUUGGACGCAAGCCUGCAUGGUGGGUCCUCCCUGCAGCAUCCCGGGAGCCUCGUGGUGGGUUCUCGGAGGAGUGCUGGGGGUUUGCUACCACUGACCCCUCCCCUGCCUCUCACUGCAGGCUCAGGUGUGCCAGGCUUGCUCCAGAACGUCCAGCAGCUGCUGGUGCAGAUCCUACAGACGUCACGGCAGCAGCAGGCGCUGCUGGAGAGCCUGGCCAGUGAUACCGUCUCCCACCUUAACUUCCUCUCCCACAGCCUGGUGCAGGUGGGUGAGACCCUGCACCAGCUCCUGCUCCGGCCACAGACCUACUUCAGCCCCUUUGUCCACUACAGUCCCCACGUGCCCAUUUUUGAGGGUGGCCCUGGGGUGCCCUGUUCCGCCGGCUCUCCCCGCGCCUCCCCGGAUCACAAAGAGGAGCCUCAGGUGUCCCCUGCCUCUGGCUGCACCCCGUGAGUGCCACCACCCUCAGCCCCAGGGGCACCAGCUUCACUAUGCAGCCACAGCACAGAUCUUUAUAGCAGAGGCCCUGGAUAUUUUGGAAGUUUAUAGAAGAGAGACAUUUAAAUAAAAUUAAAAAUAGCUUUUUCUACCA